GCUGCCUCUUUGGAGUGUUGCUUCCUGCUCUUCCUCCUGUGCAGACGCUUCGCUGAGUUGCUCUUCGCUUUGCUUUCUUUUUAUCAUUGCUAUGCUUAUCUUUCGCUACUAAAUUUUUGGAAAACGGGUCCUGGAUACUUACAAAUCACUGGGAGUUUAAUUUAUGAAAGAAACUGAAGGCUACCACUAUUUUAAAAA